rnacentral:rRNA from 1 species
GUUGGCUUAGAAGCAGCCAUCAUUUAAAGAAAGCGUAAUAGCUCACUGGUCGAGUCGGCCUGCGCGGAAGAUGUAACGGGGCUAAACCAUGCACCGAAGCUGCGGCAGCGACGCUGAUGCGUUGUUGGGUAGGGGAGCGUUCUGUAAGCCUGUGAAGGUGGCCUGUGAGGGUUGCUGGAGGUAUCAGAAGUGCGAAUGCUGACAUAAGUAACGAUAAAGCGGGUGAAAAGCCCG